AAGGUCUUAGCUUAAUGAAAGUGUCUGUUUUGCAUACAGAAGAUAUAGGUUAAAGUCCUGUAGGUCUUA
rnacentral:tRNA from 1 species